rnacentral:lncRNA from 1 species
UUAACCUGAGUCUUUAUGGAAUUUCCCAGGCCACAUCUCCCAUCAAAUUCUCGACUAUGAAUUUCUAAGGAAAUAUAGACCUUUAUACUACAAGCAACAAAUCUAUGUUCAAAGACAGAAAUAAUUUCUGCAAAUUAAUAAGGAAAGAAAAUGUCAGAAUCUGGGCAUAUUUCAUGUGUUGUGAUGGUGCCAAUCUCAUGGACUGUCUACUCCUGGUUUGGUGUGUUCUUACAAGAAAAGUGUCAAAACCUUGGUCAAGUGCAAUACACGGGAGUUGCAUCCACAACAGCAGUUAGUCAGAAAGAAAAGGUAUUAUUUUUCUAUAAUCAUGUUUAAAAUAUGAGAAAUACAUGGUAGAUUAAGAUUUAUAGUAUUAUGGAUUGGUAAAAUAAAUGUAAAAUAAAAUAUUCAUUAUUC